rnacentral:rRNA from 1 species
AUGGAGUUGGCGGUAGGCGCCUCGGAGGCCACCAUCAAGUCCCUGCUGACCAAGCUCGGGAGCCUUCUGGCAGAGCAGUACGCCUUGGCCCGCGGCGUCCGCAGCGACAUCCAGUUCAUCAACGACGAGCUCGCGAGCAUGCAGGCCUUCCUCAGCAACCUCGGCAACAGCACCGACGACCACGACGACCAGACCAAGGACUGGAUGAAGCAGGUCCGCGACGUCUCCUACGACAUUGAGGACUGCGUCGACGACUUCACCAACGGCCUCCGACCGGAUCCCCAGCGCGACGACUGGCGUUCCAAGGCCCGCGGGUUCCUCUACGAGAUCUGGACAUUAAGUCGCCGGAGAAGCAUAGCUGCCCAGAUCGCGGACCUCAAGCAGCGGGCGCAGCAUGUGGGCGAGCGCCGCGGCAGGUAUGGCGUCCGCGACCCGAAUCCCGGCAGCGGGAAGAGUGGUUUGGAUGGGUAUACCACUGCCGAGCACCAGGAGAUAACCCGUCGACUUAUCGGCAUCCAGAGGCCAGUUGGGGUGGACAUAGCAGAGCUCGAGAAGUGGAUUAAAUCUCCAGAGAAGAAGCGGAGUGUUAUAUCCAUAUACGGAUUUGGCGGCGUGGGAAAAACCACGGCCGCCAUGGCACUGUACCGGAGCUGCGGGGUUCAUUUCACGUGUCGGGCAAUGGUCACCGUGUCACAUCACACUGACCCUGAUGUAGUUCUCCGUGAGAUACUGAGGCAAGUCAAGAUGCAAGUGAAGGAUCAGCAAGUCCAGAAUAGUACCGUAAACACCUCGGAGAAGAAGAAUCCAGCAGCAGCGGCUCCCCCCCGGAUGCUCAGCAGGCUGAGCCAAUUCCGGCUGUAUUACCGCAAUCAAGAUAAGGAUGGUAAAGCCUCGGGCAAGGAGCGCCAACUGAUAAUAGAUGAUCUCUUGAAACACCUCAGGAAAAAUAGGUACUUACUGUUAAUUGACGACGUCUGGUCAUCAUCUAUGUGGCAGACAAUCUUGAACUGCUUGCCAGAAAAUGAUGAAAAUAGCAGAAUAAUUGUGACCACACGAUUUGAAGCUGUUGCAAAGACUUCACACUUGGACCAUGAUCACUUUCAUCAGAUGGAUCCUCUUUCUGUGAAAUAUGCCGAGCACUUGUUUAACACAAGUUUGUCCGAGUGCAGGGAUGCUCAAAGCAGUAAGACAAGCCAGAGCGAUCAAGUUCCACCCAGAGUCUGGAAGAUGUGUGGUGGCCUGCCAUUACCCAUAGUUACCAUGGCUGGUCUCAUGGCAUCCAACAAGCUCAUGAAGCGAGAGGAAUGGAAUAAAGUUUGCGAGGCUUUGUUUCCAGAUGAACAAGUAUGCCAUAAACCAGAGGAAUUUAUGAGGAUAAUCAAUUACUGCUACAGUGCUUUGCCUAGUGAUCUCAAGACUUGCUCUCUGUAUUUUAGCAUCUUUCCAAAGGGUCGCAGUAUCAGCAAGAAGCGGCUAAUCAGGAGGUGGAUAGCGGAAGGCUUUGUCAGCGAGAAGCAAGGGCUGAGCGUGGAUGAUGUUGCAGAGACGUGCUUUAAUCAGCUUAUUAAAAGGCAGAUAAUACGGCCUGUACAGAACAGCACCGAUGGCAAGGUGAAGAGCUGUCAAGUCCAUGACAUGGUCCUUGAGUACAUUAUAACCAAGGCAGCCGAAGAGAAUUUCGUUACUGUGGUUGGUGGCCAGUGGUCCAUACCAACUCGUAGCAGCAAAGUCCGCAGGAUGUCGCUCCACAGCAGUGACUCCAAACAUGCAAGGAAAGCAUAUGGAAUGAACUUGUCUCAUGUCCGAUCACUGACUGUGUUUGGGAGCCUAGAGCAACAGCGGUUUAAAUCAUUCAAGACUGGAAUAGUGCAAGUACUAGACCUCGAAGGUUGCAGCGGUUUCAAGGCAAAGCAUGCCAGUGUCUCGGACAUCUGUAAAAUGACUCUUCUCAAGUACCUGAGCCUCCGAGGAACAGACAUCAGCGUACUACCACCGAACAUCGGGGGUCUCAAGUAUUUGGAAACACUGGACAUAAGGCAGACGGAAGUUGAAGAACUGCCUAAAACUGUAGUUCUGCUGGAACGAAUCAGCAAUAUACUUGGAGGAGAUAAGAGAACACGGAAAGCCUUGAAGUUGCCUAAAGAGAUGAAGAAGGGAGCAAUGAAAACCCUGCGCGUACUGUCUGGGAUUGAGAUCACUGAGGAAUCGACUGCCGUAUCAAACCUCCAUGAACUAACUGGGCUGAAGAAGUUGGCCAUUUACAAGCUUCACAAGUCUGACCAUGAUGAUUUGCUCUCCUCUAUCCAGUACCUUGGCGGUUAUUCUCUUAAAACUCUUGUGAUUGAUGAUGAGUCAUCUGAGUUCCAUGAUAAACUGGGCAAAAUGUCGACGCCUCCAGUAUACCUGAAUGCUCUAGAGCUGUCCGGCAAGUUGUGUAACUUCCCAUCAUGGAUCACUAAACUCAGGGACAUUGUCAAGUUAACCCUUUCAGCAACACUUCUGGGACCAGAAAAUCUGGAGUGCCUUAGGGACUUGAAGACAUUAUUUUCUCUCACCUUUUCAGUACAUGCAACAAAACACGAUCCUGAUAUUGCAGCCAUUCUUCACAAGAACAAAUCUGAUUAUGGCGGUGAGAUCUUUUUUCCACCUGGAGGGUUUGCUAAUCUCAAGUUGUUCCGCAUCUUCACACCCAUUCUCCCAUCACUGAACUUCUCAGAAGGGGCGAUGCCGGGGCUCGAAAGGCUUGCAUUGUGUUUCAAAUUGUUGGAAGGUCUUCAUGGCGUGGAGAAACUUAAAAGUCUCCAUGACGUGAUCUUGACAGUUGAUGGAGAAGCAGGUAGCACGACCCAGUCGAUAAUAAAUGAUCUGAAAGAAGCAAAAGAGACAGCAAAAAGUAACUAUGUCCUAGACAUCAAGGAGAAUAGUGUGAUGAACUGA